ensembl:lncRNA
CUUUUCUAUUUUUAUAUAUUUAAAAAUAUAAAUUAUUCCUGUUAAAAUCAUUUGAAUAUGCUGAUUUGGAGCUCAGGACACACUUGGACACACCAAUUUAUACUUCUGCGUCCGGUGCACAUUGACGUGUACCAUACGUCGUACCCUUCGCCGUACCCUGACGCGCACCUCCUCAAAAAUGUAACUACGCGUCGCAACGACUGCAAGAUCUGUGAUUGGUCGGCUUGGUAGUAUCACGUUUCCUCCUACGCAUUUCCGGAAUGAUCUUCUGCACUCUGGACUGCCCGCCAUUUUUAAAUUCCGAAAUUCAGUGAAGAGCCAACAUGGAAAUGGACCAAGUGACCGAGCGAUUAAUUAAAGAAGUGAGGAAAUACAGCCAGCAUGAUCCGCUCUCUUUCAGUCGCCAUUGUUCGUAGAAGCCCGCGAGGAUCGAGGAAUGUAAACACAGUGGAACCCGCUCGCGUCAACUAGCGUUUCGGCGGUGAAACUGCAGAGCAAAACAGACAUACGCAGAAGUAUAAAUGCUUACGACGGCGUCGCCUACGUGCGUAGCCUACGACGUACACUACGCCGUACACUCGACGCAGAAGUAUAAAUUGGCCUUAUUAUCAGUGUUAAAAACAGUUACAGGUCAGCUGAAUUCAUAUGCAACUCAUGAAGUCAACCAGCGCCAAUUCUUCAAUUCAGAAUUUGGAACAACCCUGGUAAGAAGCAUAAGGGGAAAAAAAAAAACACUGGACUCGAAAGGGCAGAGUCCAUUUUCAAGAUUUCCUCCAAGUUGUGCAGACAUCACUACUUCAGUACAAAGGGUUGUGCAGUGCAGACCAGCAUCUCCCGCUGUCCCGCUGCUGGAAAUUUUCAGUGCUGAUGGAGCUAUUGAUCAUGCACACAUUAAAAUGAUGUCUGCUUCUCUAAACGCCAACGACAGAGAGGUACAUUAAUCAGGAAAUCAAUGGCUGUGUCAAUGGGCUGCUGGGGCUUGACAAUAGAUUGCAGUCCAGAGACAAGAGGCCUAGAAAGCCCUUCUCAACAAAGUCAGUGACCCAUUCAAACCCCAUGUGUUUAUUUUAAUCCAUGCCAUUACAUCAGACUUGGGGUAUAAAGGUGUUUAAUACAUUUAAGGAGUGUCUGGCAUCGAGGAGUUCAGACUCCUUGAAGGGAAAUGACUUAUAACCCUUUUCAGAACUGUUGCUUGUUUGACGUAAAGUAAUGAGUUGAUGAAGGCUGAGCAAUGUGUCAGCGUAUCAUUUAAACAGCUGUAAUUUGUCAGCCAACAAAUGAGCUGUGUUCCAAAACCUGAGCUGCCCACCUAGGCAAUAUUUAUAGGCAUUAUAGGGACACCGCUUAUAUGAUUGCUGUUCCAAACAGUAGGCAGCUAAAUUAUGCUAAUAAAGUUUUUAUCCUAGUUGGCA